AAUACGUAGGUCUCAAGCGUUGUUCGGAUUCAUUGGGCGUAAAGGGUGCGUAGGCGGCGCGGUAAGUCGGGUGUGAAAUCUCGGAGCUUAACUCCGAAACUGCAUUCGAUACUGCCGUGCUUGAGGACUGGAGAGGAGACUGGAAUUUACGGUGUAGCGGUGAAAUGCGUAGAUAUCGUAAGGAAGACCAGUGGCGAAGGCGGGUCUCUGGACAGUUCCUGACGCUGAGGCACGAAGGUCAGGGGAGCAAACGGGA
rnacentral:rRNA from 1 species